CCCAGCCUGGAGCUGCUGCUCCUUGCACUUACGUUUGCCCCGGACAGUUAGUUAUACUGCUCCCUGCUUGAAUCGGUUCCUUUUUAGAGCAGAAGGAAGCAGCUUUUGAUGGCUCGUGUAAAGCAGCUCAGUCGUAAGCUUGCCACUGAAGGACUCCCUCGGGAGGGCCUGCUCAAGAGAACAGCUCGAAAAAGGGUAGCAGAGACCAUCUAUGCAUCUCCUACCGAGCAGGUACUUGGGAAAAAGCCUGCUGGAAAAACCCGUGCUUCUGCAGCAGAAGAGGUGGAGAAGCCUCUGCGUCCCCAGUCUCGCCCCGACGCUAAAAUGUUCCAAAAAAUUCACUGGUAUCAGCAACGCAGCGGCCUGGUGAUUUCCCCGGUUGGCUUCCGACGACUAAUGAAAGACGCUUGUGAUCUGAAGAGUAACUUGCGUUUCCAGUCGCCAGCUCUCCUGCCUCUGCAGGAAGCCACUGAAGCUCAUCUCCUGCGGCUGUUUGAAGACUGGAACCAAUGUGCUCUUCAUGCUAAAAGAGCCUCCGUGCGGCCCAGCGACGUUCAUCUUGUGAGAUGCCUCCGGGGAGACAGAGCGUGAACUUCAUAGAGGCACACAGGACAACCCUUCUCAGGAAAGAUUUCUCUACAGCUUUCCUUGGGAGUCACCAUGCUGCUGUAGAGGGAAGCACUUGGUUCAUCUUUGUAGCUUUGUUUGUUUUUACAUUUUUAGUUUUUUAAAAAUUUUGUUAAAUAGCCUUUCAGAUGUCUCGAAUACAUGGCUAUUACCCUUUUUUUUUUUAAGGCGAUGGGAGAAGCUGAUGGUUUCUCCAAACAGGAAUGCAAAGUUCCCUUUAAUGUUCUCCUUUCCGUAACAUUAAGAUACACUGCUGUUGUUAAGCGAGUUUCUUUGUGCUGGGAAUAAAUGUUUCGCAACAGACUAUCAAAAUAUAAAAAGAAUAAUGUAAAAAAUAAAGAUCUAUGGUAGUCAA